UUUCCUUUUCCAGUUCAGCCUCCCAACUACUCCCUUUCGACAGUCGCCGGAGUCCUUCCUUUUUAAUGCGGCACAGUUCACACAAGAGAAGUCGCUAGGCGGUAAUGUAUGGUCCAUCUGUGCUUCAUGGUGGUUUUCAUCCUGAGUUUGCAGUACCAGCCCAGUUGCUUAUGUGCUCCCUGUCCAUAUCUUCUAGGAUCUAGUGUUGCUCUCCAUGCUUGAGUGUCAAAGAUGACGAUACACCCCUGAUGCUUUAUUGAAAUAAUAUAUAUUAGUUUUAUUCUAUCAGGUGUAAUGAUCCCCAUCUGAGGGCAUUUUAUCAUGUAAAUGGUCCUCCUGCUCCCCCCAUCUGUUUAUAUGUCUGAAGAUGAAUCCUCAUGAUGCUUAAUCUACAUA